CACGUAGGGCGCAAGCGUUGUCCGGAAUCAUUGGGCGUAAAGCGCACGUAGGCGGCCAGCUAAGUCGGAUGUGAAAGCCCUCGGCUUAACCGAGGAAGUGCAUUCGAAACUGGUUAGCUUGAAUAUGGAAGAGGGUCGCGGAAUUCCCGGUGUAGAGGUGAAAUUCAUAGAUAUCGGGAGGAACACCAGUGGCGAAGGCGGCGACCUGGGCCAAUAUUGACGCUGAGGUGCGAAAGCGUGGGGAGCAAACAGG
rnacentral:rRNA from 1 species